rnacentral:misc_RNA from 1 species
CCUCUUGAGCUUCCUCAGCCGACACUUUCUACAAAGCCUACCAACGAAACCAGAGGAUAAAAAGUACGAUAACAGACGUACACACUGCGCCUCCUCGCCCCACGUAUCACAAAACUCCCCCUCCCUCCCCACCCACCUAAUCACCACCCCGCGAAGGCAUCAACCAUGGCCCCGAUCAUCCACCGCAACCUCACCGCCCCCGAGCUGGUGCAGUGGGCGCUGAAGCUCGAGAAGGACACGAAGCUGAGCGCGCGCGGCGCGCUGUGCGUGCUGUCAUACGCGAAGACUGGCCGCUCGCCGAGCGACAAGCGUGUGGCGGACACGGAUGACGUGCGCGAGAACGUGGACUGGGGCAGUGUAAACGUGAAGCUGAGCGAGGAGUCGUUCGCAAAGGUGAAGAAGCGCGCGAUGGACUUCCUGAACUCACGCGACCACCUGUUCAUCGUGGAUUGCUUCGCCGGGCACGACGAGCGCUAUCGCCUGAAGGUGCGCGUGAUCACAACGCGGCCGUAUCACGCACUGUUCAUGUACAACAUGCUGAUCCGCCCGACACGGCAGGAGCUAGAGAACUUUGGCGAGCCGGAGUACACGAUCUACAACGCCGGCGAGCACUUGGCAGACCCGUCGGUGCCCGGGAUCACGUCGACGACGUCUGUGUCGCUAAACUUCAAGACGGGCGAGGAGGUGAUCCUGGGCACGGAGUACGCUGGCGAGAUGAAGAAGGGCAUACUGACGGUGAUGUUCGAGCUGAUGCCGCGCCAGGGCCACCUGUGCAUGCACGCGUCCGCGAACGUCGGCAAGAAGGGCGACGUGACUGUGUUCUUCGGGCUGAGCGGGACGGGCAAGACGACGCUGUCCGCAGACCCGAACCGGAUGCUGAUCGGCGACGACGAGCACGUGUGGACGGACCGCGGCGUGUUCAACAUCGAGGGCGGCUGCUACGCGAAGGCGAUCGGGCUGAACCCGAAGACGGAGGAGGAGAUCUACAACGCUGUGAAGUUCGGCGCCGUGGCGGAGAACUGCACUCUGGACAAGGCGACGCACGAGAUCGACUUCAACGACGAGUCCAUCUGCAAGAACACGCGCGUUGCAUACCCGCUGGAGCACAUCCCCGGCGCGCUGACGCACGCGGUUGCCGGGCACCCGAACAACGUGAUCUUCCUGACGAACGACGCGUUCGGCGUGAUGCCGCCGGUUGCGCGGCUGACGCCGGAGCAGGCGAUGUUUUGGUUCAUCAUGGGGUACACCGCGAACGUGCCCGGCGUGGAGGCAGGCAGCACGCCGGUGGCGAAGCCGAUCUUCUCGUCGUGCUUCGGCGGCCCGUUCCUUGUGCGCCACGCGACGUACUAUGGGGAGCAGCUGGCAAGGAAGAUGACGGAGCACAACGCCCGCGUAUGGCUGCUGAACACCGGCUACGCUGGCGGGCGCGCGGACCGCGGCGCGAAGCGGAUGCCGCUGAAGGUGACGCGUGCCGUGAUCGACGCGAUUCACGACGGCAGCCUGGACAAGGAACAGUACUGCGUGUACCCGGGCUGGGGCCUGCAGAUCCCGAGGAGGUGCGCGCGCGUGCCGGCGCAGCUGCUGGACCCGCGCAAGGCGUGGAAGGAUGUGAAGGCGUUCAACGAGACGACGAAGGAGCUGGUGGCGAUGUUCCAGGCGAGCUUCCAGAAGCGCUUUGCGGCGAAGGCGAGCGAGGCGCUGAAGUCUGCCGUGCCGAAGUACGUGGAGACGGCUCAUCUGUAGGGACGAUGUGUGCCGGGUGAGCGCCGCUGGUUGAACGUGCGCAUGCCCGAAACGCGUGUGCGUACUUUUAUGUGUGCAUUGAUUGAUGUUUUUUUCGAUGAUAGUUGAUGUAGUCGGUCAACACGUUAUAGAAGUUUUCGCGCCCUGAAUAUAUAUAUAUAUAUAUAUAUGUAUGUUCAGCGGCCUGGACGUCUGUUUUGAAACGUGCAAAGCCUUUAAGUUAACAUCGCUGAUGACGAAUGUGGUUGACGCUCUUCAGGGCGUCGUGUCUUUAGGGCGGGCCUUGUGUGACUGCGGCCUUGUCGGGCUGCUGCGACACGUCCCGUCGCUUGCUUCUGGUCUUGCUUGCUCUGUUUGCGUCGCUCUCUCUCUCUCUCUCGAGCGGGCGGGCAGGCGCCUGAAGCGGAGGCGUGGUUUUGCUAUACCGUUACCUCUAUUGUUUGGUUGACAAGUGCUUACCUCAUUUCUUUUUUUAUUUGCCUUUUCGGCUUUUUUUUAUUGGCCGCGCCUGCUCGUCGCCACGUGCACGUUGCUGUGGAGGACGUUCAUGUGGUCGCUCUCGUCCAUCAAAGUCGCGUGGGGACAGCAGAGCGCCCCCCUCCCCAAAAGGAAAAGUGGUAGUGGUGUGGUUGGUGUUGGUAUGAUGAUGAGGAUGUGUGUGUGUGGGAUCAUCACUACUAUUAUUAUUAUUGUGAGGACUCUCUCUCCCUCCUCGUUCGCUGCGUGCUGCCCUGUGAGUGUGCGUGGCCCCUUUCUCUCCAAAUUUCGAUGCUAUACAAUGGAGAAUGGAGGAGCGAGAAGUGGACUCCGUGUCCUUUUCUUUUGUUUCCGUUUUGAUGUUUUUUUUUUGUUCUGUUCUUUGUGUUAUUGUGUUAUGCCUCCCGCCUUCUUCCACCUUCUUCUCCAUCUCCCUCCCCCGACCAAAAGAAAACAGAAAACUCGAUGCUGCUGUAUGGAAUGGCUCAUUCUGUGCUGUGUGGGCGUCUGUGUGCUGUGCCUGUAUACGGGUGUGCCUCUGUGUGUGUGUGUGUUUUUAUGGGCGGGUGUGAGACCGUGAAGCGGAAGGGAGUAGGCCUCUGCUGCUCGGCUGGUCUUGUGCACCUCUUUGGCUUAUGUUGGUGGUGUUCCCGCGUGCCCCUCUGUCUCUGUUUUUGUGUACGUCUUCUUGCUGAGCAGCGUCGUGGCGUACAGCUUGCGUCACGACGGCAGGCACCAGCCCCUUUCCCCCGACUCCACAUCUCUCCCCGAAGAUAUGGACAAUGCUGCGGAAAUGCGAAGGGAAAGGACAAGCGAGGUCAACAGGGCGAGGUAGAUGGAAGCAACGCAGACUCUGCUCGAAGGACAGAGGAAAGGACGGAAAACGCGAAAUCAGCAGUGAAGGGAGCGCCAUGUGCCUGCGCGCGCACACUCACACACAGGCACGCACGAGCACUGGCGCACAAGAGAGAGCGGACGAUGGCCCACCUCCGUCCUCUUCCCAUUUUAUUCUCCCUCUCAUGUCUCAGGGAAAAGGGAGGACGCCAGAGUGUACGGCAAUGUGCAGAACACACACACACACACAUACGCAUACACGCAUCUACCACAUGCAAACAAAAGGCUAUAUGAAUAUAAUAAGAUGCUGCGUUUAACGUGGUGGGGUGCAGGGGGUGGGUGGUAGUGUUUGGCGCGCAUCGCGCAGCUCAACGAGCCACCACCGGUACACACCUACGGAAGCGGCAAACCACAUACGAUCAUCAUCAAGAC